rnacentral:rRNA from 1 species
UACGAAGGGGGCUAGCGUUGUUCGGAAUUACUGGGCGUAAAGCGCGCGCAGGCGGCUAUCCAAGUCAGUGGUGAAAGCCCGGAGCUCAACUCCGGAACUGCCAUUGAAACUGUUUAGCUUUAGGACGAGAGAGGUGAGUGGAAUUCCCAGUGUAGAGGUGAAAUUCGUAGAUAUCGGGAAGAACACCAGUGGCGAAGGCGCUCUACUGGGCCACAACUGACGCUGAGGGACGAAAGCUAGGGGAGCGAAAGGG